rnacentral:rRNA from 1 species
UCCCUACGGGAGGCAGCAGUGGGGGAUAUUGCACAAUGGGGGAAACCCUGAUGCAGCGACGCCGCGUGGGUGAAGAAGCGCCUCGGCGCGUAAAGCCCUGUCCGCAGGGAAGAAAAUGACGGUACCUGAAGAAGAAGCCCCGGCUAACUACGUGCCAGCAGCCGCGGUAAUACGUAGGGGGCAAGCGUUAUCCGGAUUUACUGGGUGUAAAGGGGGCGCAGACGGCGAUGCAAGCCAGGAGUGAAAGCCCGGGGCCCAACCCCGGGACUGCGCUUGGAACUGCGUGGCUAGAGUGCCGGAGGUGG